UACGGAGGGUGCAAGCGUUAAUCGGAAUUACUGGGCGUAAAGCGUGCGCAGGCGGUUUGUUAAGUCCGUUGUGAAAGCCCCGAGCUCAACUUGGGAAUUGCAGUGGAUACUGGCAGGCUGGAGUACGGUAGAGGAAGGUGGAAUUCCCGGUGUAGCAGUGAAAUGCGUAGAUAUCAAGUGGAACACCAGUGGCGAAGGCGAGUCCCUGGACAACUCCUGACACUGAGGCACGAAAGCUAGGGGAGCAAACAGG
rnacentral:rRNA from 1 species